GACGAACGCUGGCGGCGUGCCUAAUACAUGCAAGUCGAACGAACCGCGACUAAGUGCUUGCACUAAGUCAAGGUGAGUGGCGAGCGGGUGAGUAACACGUGGGUAACCUACCUCAUAGUGGGGGAUAACAGUCGGAAACGACUGCUAAUACCGCAUAGGACAUAGGAUCACAUGAUCCAGUGAGGAAAGGUGGCGCAAGCUAUCGCUAAGAGAUGGACCCGCGGUGCAUUAGCUAGUUGGUAGGGUAAAGGCCUACCAAGGCGAUGAUGCAUAGCCGACCUGAGAGGGUGAUCGGCCACAUUGGGACUGAGACACGGCCCAAACUCCUACGGGAGGCAGCAGUAGGGAAUCUUCCGCAAUGGACGCAAGUCUGACGGAGCAACGCCGCGUGAGUGAAGAAGGUCUUCGGAUCGUAAAGCUCUGUUGUUAGAGAAGAACAGCGCAUAGAGUAACUGCUAUGCGUGUGACGGUAUCUAACCAGAAAGCCACGGCUAACUAUGUG
rnacentral:rRNA from 1 species